UGUCCAGGGAUGGGAAUCGAACCCACAGUGUUCCGCUUACCGGGCAGAUGCCAUGUCCACUAUGCCUCCCUGGAC